UGGGAGCAUCAGGUGCUCUUUCAGAGAGUUCGAUUCUGGCUCAGAUUGAACACUGGCGGAUGCUACACAUGCGAUCGAACGGCAACACGGUUUUCAGUCUGGUGAGUGGCGAACGGGUGAGUAAUGUCGGAACGUGCCUGGUAGCAGAGAUAACUACGCGAAAGCGUAGCUAAUACCACAUACGCCCUUCGGGGAAAGCGGGGGACCUUCGGGCCUCGCACUAUUAGAGCAGCCGAUAUCGGAUUAGCUGGUUGGUGGGGUAACGGCUCACCAAGGCGACGAUCCGUAGCUGGUUUGAGGGAGGACGACCAGCCACACUGGGACUGAGACACGGCCCGAACUCCUACGGGAGGCAGCAGUGGGGAAUUUUGGACAAUAGGAAACCGAUCAGCCAUCCCGCGUGUGCGAUGAAGGCCCUCCCGGGUUGCCAUAAAAGCACGCAGCGGGAAAGAAACGGCACGGGAUAAUACCCCGUGCAACUAACAGUACCUGCAGAAUAAGCACCGGCUAACUACGUGCCAGCAGCCGCGCGGUAAUACGUAGGGUGCAAGCGUUAAUCGGAAUUACUGGGCGUAAAGCGUGCGCGAGCGGUUCGGAAAGAAGAUGGCAAAUCCAGAAGCAACUUUGGAACUGCGUGCAACUCUACCAGAGAGCUAGAGUGUGUCAGAGGAGGUGGAAUUCCCGCGUGUAGCAGUGAAAUCGUAGAUAUGCGGAGAACACCGAUGGCGAAGGCAGCCUCCUGGGGAUCGCGCACUGGCUCAUGCGAAAGCGUGGGGUAAGCAAGUUAGAUACCCUGGUAGUCCACGCCUAAACGAUGUCAACAACGCAAGCCUUCGGCUCUGAUGUGCAGCAAUAACCAUGCGCGAAGUUGAUAUGCCGGUGAUCGAUCAAGUUCAAGCUCAAAGGAAUUGGCGAGUUUGUGGUGGAUGAUGUGGUUAAUUCAGUGCGCGAAAAACCUUACCUACCCUUGACAUGUCUGGAAUCCCGAAGAUUUUGCAGUGCUCGCAAAGAGAACCGGAACACAGGUGCUGUAGCUGUCGUCGAAAUACGUGUCGUGAGAUGUUGGGUUAAGUCCGCAACGAGCGCAACCCUUGUCAUUAGUUGCUACGAAAGAGGCACUCUAAUGAGACUGCCGGUGACAAGCCGGAGGAAGGUGGGGAUGACGUCAAGUCCUCAUGGCCCUUAUAUGGGUAGGGCUUCACACGUCAUGCAAUGGGUGGGACGAAGGGUCGCCAACCCGCGAGAGGCCAAUCCCAGAAGCCCGAUCGUAGUCCGGAUCGCAGUCUGCAACUCGACUGCGUGAAGUCGGGGAAUCGCUAGCGUAAUCGCGGAUCAGCAUGUCGCGGUGAAUACGUUCCCGGGUCUUGUACACACCGCCCGUCACACCAUGGGAGUGGGUUUUACCAGAAGUAGUUAGCCUAACCGUAAGGAGGGCGAUUACCACGGUAGGAUUCAUGACUGGGGUGAAGUCGUAACAAGGUAG
rnacentral:rRNA from 1 species